UUGUUGUUCCCUGCGCCUAGCUCUCUCUAUCCAGCGCCCCCCAUUUUCUUCCAUGGAAAACCAGCAGCGAGCCCCCUUCCUCGCUGUUCGUCGUGGUGCCCGCCGGCUGUUCGGCAAAAUGCGCAGCAACCCGCGCGCUGCCGGCUCGCUGUUUCGUGAAGCCCAGUGGACAGCACGCCGCCAACGCUCACUGUGGGUUGCUGUUUUUGCGCAGCCCCCUUGUCGUCGUCAUUCACCCCCGGUGAGACCACGACGAUUUAUGUUCGAUUCCGCAUCGGGUUAUUUUCCUAUAAUUAUUGUGUAUGUGCUGUUUGGUUUUUGUUUUGUGGAGGAGAGGAACCCUGCGUUUUGCGAGAAGAAGGCCAAUCAUUCAACGCUCGUCGGAUGUUGGAGCGAUGCACAAAUCGGAAUCACCGUCAUUCUUGCAAACACCGUUUGGGUUUGUUUAUGGACCGAGAGAUGAUGAUCGAGCCAGUGAUGUGGUGCCAACCACAAGAUGCAGUUGGUGGACGACCUGAAGACUGAUGGACUUACCCAGUUGAUGCUCGCCAAGCGAGUA
rnacentral:misc_RNA from 1 species